rnacentral:tRNA from 1 species
GCCCGGAUGGUGAAACAGGUAGACACAGCGGACUUAAAAUCCGCCGCGCUCUCAUAAGCGCUUACCGGUUCAAAUCCGGUUCCGGGCA